rnacentral:rRNA from 1 species
UUGACCUCGAAUCAGGUAGGAAUACCCGCUGAACUUAAGCAUAUCAAUAAGCGGAGGAAAAGAAACCAACCGGGAUUACCUCAGUAACGGCGAGUGAAGCGGUAACAGCUCAAAUUUGAAAUCUGGCUCUUCCGGAGUCCGAGUUGUAAUUUGUAGAAGAUGCUUUGGGUUGUGGGUUCGGCCUAAGUUCCUUGGAACAGGACGUCAUAGAGGGUGAGAAUCCCGUAUGUGGCCGAGGCCCGCGCCUAUGUAAAGCUCUUUCAACGAGUCGAGUUGUUUGGGAAUGCAGCUCAAAAUGGGUGGUAAAUUUCAUCUAAAGCUAAAUAUGGGCCAGAGACCGAUAGCGCACAAGUAGAGUGAUCGAAAGAUGAAAAGCACUUUGGAAAGAGAGUUAAACAGUACGUGAAAUUGUUGAAAGGGAAGCGCUUGCAACCAGACUUGGGCGCUGCCGAUCACCUUGAGUUUUCUCGAGUGCACUCGACAGCGCACAGGCCAGCAUCGGUUCGGGUGGCUGGAUAAAGGCCGUAGGAAUGUGGCUCUCUUCGGGGAGUGUUAUAGCCUACGGUGCCAUGCAGCCCAGCCGGACCGAGGACCGCGCCUUCGGGCUAGGAUGCUGGCGUAAUGGUUGUAAGCGACCCGUCUUGAAACACGGACCAAGGAGUCUAACAUCUAUGCGAGUGUUUGGGUGGUAAACCCAUACGCGGAAUGAAAGUGAACGUAGGUGAGAACCCCUUUGGGGCGCAUCAUCGACCGAUCCUGAUGUCUUCGGAUGGAUUUGAGUAAGAGCAUAGCUGUUGGGACC